rnacentral:piRNA from 1 species
UGAGAACUUGAACUUGGCCUUCAUCAUCC